UCUGUCUUCAUAUUAUGACACAAACCAGACAUAUCUGACAGUACAUGCUGCCUAUACAUAUUGAACAUUUCUUCCACUUCUUCUCUUCUUACAUAGUUGAAAUCAAGAGAAGAAUAACUAGGCUCCUGAGCUCCAAUUGAAGUCUGCACUGUUGAACUACCAGUAACACUUAUUUGUUGCUCGUCCAUACGUUGUGGAAUUUGUUGAUGUGCAUUCUCAAAUUCUCCACCAACAAUGCCAUCAAAAAUAGUAUGUUGGUUAUCAGUUGGUAAUGAUAAAGUCAAAUACCAAACUUUGUCCAAUUCUUCUUUAGUGGGUGCUAACACUGCAAGUACUUCAAUAUACAAAUAUAAUAAAAUAUUAGAAUACUUUCCUCUCCCACGAUUAAAUAAUUAGAUAAUUGAUAAUUAAAUGUAUAUCUAAAAUUAUCAUACCUCUUGGGUAGUGAAAAAUUGUUUUACUCUUCUCUCACUCAAUAUUUUUUUGGCUUCCAUCUAUGCAUUUUUGGAGCCUAUAAUGUCUUAUACAUAUGUCGUCCAAAUUUGUCUCCAACUUGAGGAAAUGCUUA
rnacentral:lncRNA from 1 species